UCUCCAGUCAUGAUGAGGUCUAGUGUAGGGUCAGGUCUGAGGCAGGGACUUCUCCAGUCAUGAUGAGGUCUAGUGUAGGUUCAGGUCUGAGGCAGGGACUUCUCCAGUCAUGAUGAGGUCUAGUGUAGGUUCAGGUCUGAGGCAGGGACUUCUCCAGUCAUGAUGAGGUCUAGUGUCGGUUCAGGUCUGAGGCAGGGACUUCUCCAGUCAUGAUGAGGUCUAGUGUAGGUUCAGGUCUGAGGCAGGGACUUCUCCAGUCAUGAUGAGGUCUAGUGUAGGUUCAGGUCUGAGGCAGGGACUUCUCCAGUCAUGAUGAGGUCUAGUGUAGGUUCAGGUCUGAGGCAGGGACUUCUCCAGUCAUGAUGAGGUCUAGUGUAGGUCUGAGGCAGGGACAUCUCUUGUCAGGAUGGGGUCGAGUGUAGGUCUGAGGCAGGGACUUCUCCAGUUAUGAUGAGGUCUAUUCCAGGUCUGAGGCAUGGACUUCUCCAG